rnacentral:lncRNA from 1 species
UGAGCACCCACAUGAGCACUUAAGGUUCAUUUACAGAAUUUUCAUGAAAUGUACAAGAUACAAAUAUUGUGAAAGAAAAGCGUAUACACAACUUAUGUUGAAAAGUUCCAUAAUGGUGUAUUUAUGCCUUUGUAAUGUUGAAAAGUUCAUCAUCAAGUCACACAUUAUCAUUGAAUAAAAUUUAAACAUUAAGAACCAAACCAAGAAAAUAAGAGAAUAAAAGAAAAUAUUGAAAAACUCAAGAAUUGUAUUCUUGAUCUCCAAAUCUCCUUGAAUCCUGCAAAUUCUUCUUAGCUUCAAUGACUCUGUGGCUUGACUCUUAGAUGUUAAUCUAGUGUUUCUUCCUUCUCCUUUUCAAGUCCUCCGAGAGGUUGUUUUUAUAGGCUUUGAAGUUAGGCCAAGUUGGGUAAAGAAAGAAGUCAAUUUCAGCUAGGAUUUCCUCAUCAGACUAUGUAAGUCGCAGCUUUGCCCAAUCAAUUAACAGAAAUCGUAAUUGCUCUAGGACUGCUGCAGUGUGUCAACUUCAACAAGAUUUUUGACAAUCCUAAAAGAAGACCUGGGUGAAGUAGUAAACACAAAAGUUGUAGUUUUUUCCCUCAUCUUUCCAAUGGCCUAAGAAUCACUUCAUUUGAAUCUCUGUAGAGAAAUUUAUGGCCAAAAUACCAAAACAUGUACAUUAGAAGUCUGCACCUUAAAAUUGCUCUCCUUCUUUUACUAAAAUUCUUAUUUUAAACACCUACAAAAGCACAAAUAAAUCAAUAACAACCAAUCUUAUCCUCAUUAAUACCAAAUUAAGCAUAACAUUGACCAUGAUUAGAUUGACUCACCUAAAAUAACUAAUUUAAAAUAAUUAAAUAAAACUUACUAAUUUCUAUGCAUUACUACAAAAACCAAGCCAAAUUAUUAUCAAAAUUAAGUUCAAAUAACUUUAUAUCAUAGAGUUAUCAUACCCUCAGACUUAAGAUUUUGCUAGUCCACAAGCAAAACAUAAAAAAGAACCUAACUUACGAAAAUCAAAUUCAGCUAAUGAAAACUAAAAAAAAUAUAGUUACUACUACUACUACU